rnacentral:lncRNA from 1 species
AUAUAUCAUCAAAACAGUGCUUUGGGAAGGUACCUAUCACCUCACAGACAUGGAUGGAAGACUCAUACCACGGGCAUGGAACGCCCAACACUUAAAGAGGUAUUACCAGUAGCUUCACCCGGGUAGUAUUUCUGUAGGCUUCGGCUUAAGGGUCAGGAAAUAAAGGCGAUUUAUUAGUUGUAAUCGCUAUGCUUUUAGGAGAAUUAUCAGGCUACUAUUUGCUUUACUUGCUAGGACGCUCGGGGGGUAGUGUCGUUGCACCCCCCAAUAUUAUGCUAUGUCAAUUUCUACCAUGUGGUUCAAUAAAAUUUUGCAGCUUUCCGUUAUGAAAAUGUUGUGUAUGCUUACUUGCUU